rnacentral:lncRNA from 1 species
GUUUGAGAGGGCAGAAUUUCUGAGCACAGAUCUGAGCCAGUCUCAGAGUCAAAGUCUCCAGGGAUUGUACGCCAGGGGAGCUGGUCCUCCCAUCCCUAGCUCACCCUCAAGAUGGCCUGGAAAAUGCUUUCAAAAUCAGGCUGUGCAUCUGGAAAGUUCUUGAGCUAGCUACCUGACCCAGAGGCUGUCACCCCACAGUGAAAACCUGAGACCAGUUAUUCCUCAUUCCUGUUCUUCCCUAUGGUGCAGAGGGCUCAGGAGUGGAAAGAGUUCAAGAAGCCCUCCUCCAGGCUUUCAGACACACCCCCGGAACGUCUUCUCACUCACAGGCUGCAUCCACAACUGCACAAGGGGGACUGUAGAAUGCUUUCCCGAGUCUGGAUUCUUACAGCCCGGGCCAGAACGACGUGACUGAAACUGCCAAGUUCUGCUGCUUACUGGGGCUGGAGCAUGGUCCUCUCAUUCAAUUACAUCUUCAUCAGCUUUCUACUUUUGAUCUUCACUGCCAAAGUUUGGCUGUCUUCAACCUGCAUCUCUAGACAACUCUGGCCUCAAACUCAGAGAUCUGCCAGCCUCAGCCUUCUCAGUGCUGAAAUUAAAGAGAGAAUGCUCCCUACUUUCUCCUGGAAAAGAAUUGCAGCAAUGCACAAAGGAAAAUGGACACCUGCCCUAUCCCCAUGCACUCAUGGGGCUUAUGUUCCACACUUCAGGUUCUACUGAGACUUCCAAUAGAGGUAGCAACUAUAUAGCAAGAACUUCAGAGUGAAAAAUUAAUCUCCACAUCUCUUACCACACAUCUUCCUGAAGGAUCUAACCAAGAGCAGCUAACUGCAAGGAAAAUGUUGGGGGCCCAUUUGAUCUGAGAGGUCUACGCUGCCACCCAGGAUGCUGAUGACAACUGGACCCAAGCUGCUGCUGCUGGCCAUGUCUGUAUCCAUGGUCCUGAUGUGGCUGGGGUCUGUGUUGAUGUCUGUUACCUGUGUUACCACAGGGGACUUGCAAACCAUGUAUUGAACUGCUUGUUGAAUUACAAGGGCCAUGCUGAGCUGGUCCUACCUGUCACUGGCCCAGCGAGAUCCAGUUGCCUCCUCACCGGUGAGCCAACCAUACACCCCCAGCAUUGGUCCCACCUCACAUAGGAGAGCCUCCCACACUUGAGAAAGCUGGACCCACCCCUCACUACCAGCACUGAAGAGCUGGCUCCGCCCCUCACCUGAGGAGGAUGGUCCCAGCAGCCUGGACUGACCAACUCAGCUACCACGUAGGCAUGUUUCCAGGGCUCUGAGUUGGCACUCUCCAACAUCUACCCCCUCUAUGACCUGCUGGAGUGUGUGAAGGGUCUGGUCCUUCGUAACCAUAGCCACAGGAUCUCCAUGACUUCAGGCAACUGCAGGGUAUCAUAGAGGAGAUUCAGCGAGGGUCCAGUAUUGAUAGUGUACAAGAAGCCAGAGGCCUUGAACCUGACCAACAACACACUACAUAAUGAAUAUUUGCAAGUAAAGCUGUUUGGACAAAAGGGUAUACUACAUGAUAACACCGUAUCUCCCAAUGCCACUGAGAGGAAUGAAGAGGCAAUAGAGAGGCAGGAAAGAUAGAGGAGUGAAGUGUUUCUUUUUGUUGUUGUUGUUUUGUUUUCUUGAGACAGGGUUUCUCUGUAUUGCUUUGGAGGUUGUCCUGAACUCACUCUGUAGACCAGACUGGCCUUCAACAGUCUGCCUGCCUCUGCCUCCCGAGUGCUGGGGAUUAAAGGCAUAGGUCACCAACGCCCCCGACUGCUUUUUUGUUUAUUUGCUUUUUGUUUUUUGUUUAUCUUAAUUAACAUUUCUUAUUUGCAUUUUUUUAAUUUCGAUUUAAUUUUAUUCUAUUUAUUUUUAGUUUUCCUUUGCAGGGGCAAUACUACAAAAGUGAAGGGUAGAUGGAGA